GUCAAAUGGUUGAAAGCUUUUAAAGCGUAGCGAUCUUUAUAUUGAAAAAGAGAUCAUAUGUAGAGCAGGAUGGACAUAUUAAAGUUCAGAGUCUGACUAGCACUUGGAUCCUUUUUGUCAAAGGAAGCCAUUGCAGACAGUGAAUUAUUUUAAUCACUUGUAUUAAAAGUACAUCUUUAUGAGUGGUUGAAAGUUUGAUGAAUGCAUUGUGGUUGUAGAACUAUAGAAAGACUAUUUUGCUAAUAGUGGCCCUAAGAUCAUGUGAUAUCUUAGUAUAGUACGAACCAUUAGUUUCAAAUAUUUCAUCAGUUUUUGGUUCUCUCCACAAAGGCUCAAAAACUAAAACAUUGGAAAUUUGUCAAGCUGUUGCCAGUUGUGGGG
rnacentral:misc_RNA from 1 species